UUGUAAAGAGCUCCACAUAUACACUUUUUGUCUCCUUUUCUUUUGAACAAAAUGUAUUAACAAAUCAAAUAUACAAAAUUUUCCUCUGGAAAUAAUUACAAAAUCUCUCAGAUGCUUUAGCGUAGAGCUUCCAGAUAGAUCAUUCAUGUUUUCAUUGUAGGAUCUGCCCAAGAAUCACACAAUACUUGCAAUUUUGACACCUUAUUAGAUCAGAAGUGUCAUCAGAUAUAGAAAAAUAUUUUUCCUUUUAUUGAAGUGUUUUUUAUGAAUGCAGGGAGGGGGAAAACAAAAGAAAAAUACCCAGAGUUAGUAGGCAAAACUGCAAAAUCGGUAUGCAUGUCCUAUGGGGGAACCCUUUUUGUGCCAAGGGUAGGCCUAGCAUGAAAAUGCAAUCCGCUAGAGUAGGCACUAUACAAUACCUGAUGGAUCUGAUCAACUCAUGGAGUGAAAAAUAAUUUGAAAAAUUUGGCCCAUUGGAAUGAGAAGAGACGUUGGUAAAAUGAGGACCUCGUCCGAAGGGAUUGAUCACUUUUGAUCGAUAUAAGAAUUUGCAAAAAACGUACGGGUUUGACCUUGACGAACUUCCUAUCGAAGAGAUUGGAAUUCGUUGACAAAUUUUCUCAGUGAAGCACGGUCAAAACUCCAACUGAUGAUCUCAAAAUUGACCAGGUUUCCCUAUUUGAAAUUCGACAUUGAACCCAAAUUGGUCGAAUGGGUUGAAUGAAAUUGACAAUUUAUUUAAAAUCGACCGAAUUACCCUAAAAGGGAAACAGGUCAAAUGAAUUGAAUGAAAUUUAAAACUUACUCAAAAUUGACCGAAUCAUCCUAAAAAAAACUUGAUUGAAUGACAUUGAGAAUUUGUUCAAAAUGAAAUUGGUCAAAUGAAUUGAAUGAAAUCAAGAAUUUAUUCAAAAUUGACCAGAUCGCCCUAAAAGGGUAAACUGGUCCAAUGAAUUGGACGAAAUGGAUGAUUUAUCGAAAAUCGACAAAAUUGCCCUAACUAAUCAAAUGAAUUGAAUGAAAUUGGUGAUUUAUUCGAAUGACCCUAAAAAAGGGGUAAAUUGGUCAAAUGAGUUGACGAUUUAUUCAAAAUCGACCGGAUGACCCUAAAAAGGAUAAAUUGGUCAAAUGACCCUAAAAAGGGUAAAUUGGUCAAAUGAAUUGACGAUUUAUUCAAAAUCGACCGGAUGACCCUAAAAAGGGUAAAUUGGUCAAAUGA
rnacentral:lncRNA from 1 species